rnacentral:ncRNA from 12 species
UAUAUGCGUGUCUGUGAUUGAAAAUCCAAGCCAGUUGCGGGCAAAAGGAUCCACGUAAGCAUACAUGAUAUGUGAGCAUGGCGCAGCUUAGAAGUAAGACCUGCGGACUAUACUAUAAAAUCCAAAUUUCGCAGGCGAGUGUGGGGGCAAAGAUCAGGUCAGGCGCAUAUA